rnacentral:rRNA from 1 species
AGCAGUAGCCACGGGAAUACGAAGGGGGCUAGCGUUGUUCGGAUUUACUGGGCGUAAAGGGUGCGUAGGCGGAUUGUUAAGUCAGGGGUGAAAUCCCGAGGCUCAACCUCGGAACUGCCUUUGAUACUGGCGAUCUUGAGUCCGGGAGAGGUGAGUGGAACUGCGAGUGUAGAGGUGAAAUUCGUAGAUAUUCGCAAGAACACCGGUGGCGAAGGCGGCUCACUGGCCCGGUACUGACGCUGAGGCACGAAAGCGUGGGGAGCAAACAGGAUUAGAUACCCCCGUAGUCCCUGUCUCUUAUAC